CUCACCUGGAGGCGUGGCCAGAAGUCGUCCCGUCUCUUCUGAGCGCGCUCCAGGACGGCGGACGCUGCCGAGCACGAAGCCGCCGAGCGCCAUGACAUCACUGACAGCCGGUCGUCUGGGUGACAAAACGCUGUGUGGCGCUCAGCUCCAGGUCCUGGAGGCGUUUCCCUCCCAGCGAUUCUCUGAGUUUUUCCUCCACUGACUGACGACCUCCUACUGGACAUACUGGAGCCACCAGACAGAAACCAGUUCAGGCGCAGACCGGAAGGCGGGGCCAGACCCUGGAAGCUUCGGCGGUACUCCGUUUCCAUGGGAACGGGGUUCUUCUUAAAGGGCGGGAUGGACCUGCUGCUGGAGUGCAACACCUGCGAGAUGGG